GGGGUGUAGCUCAGUGGUAGAGCACUUGCUUAGCAUUCAGGAAGCCUAAGGUUCCAUCCCCAGCACUACCA
rnacentral:tRNA from 1 species